CCUCGCUGGAAGGGAGAGCAGAGCACAGUGAGCCCACAGGAGGAGGGGAAAUCCCUGCUGAGCCCAAACCCUGCUCCUGAUGGUGACAGCACAGUGGUCACCCCGGCCCUGUCACCCCAAUCAGAACACUCAGGUCACGGGAAAACAAGGAAAGGAAAACAAAGAGUUGAGUUACCUCCUGGAGAAAGGCGAGCAGUGAGUAACAGCAAGGGAGAGCACAAAGUGAAAAGCAGGGGAGAAAACAGAAAAGAAGAGUCAGCAAAAGAGUUUCCAAAAGUUUGGGAAUGUCAAAUGAUUUGGCAAAACCCACAUGGAGCCGUGGUGGAUACAGACCAAGAGAUUUCCUCUUUGGAAGUUUAAAUGUUCUCACUGAGCUGGGAAAGGGAUGGUGUGAAGGGGAUAAGUGUGAAAGCCUGGAGCUGCAGCCUGGUUUUCCAGGCCCCAAAUCCCAGUGCUCACAUCCCGUUGCGGGGUGUAACCAGACACAAAACCUUUGGCAGGGCCAUGGUGCCAGGAUGGAUUUGGCACUGCAGCUUCCCAGGGGGAAGAAGUCCCAGCUGUGGCUUCAGCUGGAAUAAGCUGAUCUGGGAGGAGAAGAGGCCUCUGGUGCUGGGGAAUGUGCAGGAGCACAGGGAUGUGGCUUCCAGCAGCCUGGGAACUCUGUGUGGGGACCAAAACCAUGGAGACAUCUUGUCCAGUGAUGGCACUUGUGUCUGGAAGACACUGCCAGCUGCUUCUGAGGGACAGGGCAAGGCCUGGGCUUGCAGCUGCUGUGGCUGCAGCAAGGGGACUUGUCAAAUAAACUCUGGGAGUUUGCAGAA